AAGAAAAGGAGACACAUAGCAAU
rnacentral:snRNA from 1 species